UCGGCAGGUGGACUCUCAACAACUGUGCCACCAGGGAAGCCCAAAAGUUGUCCUGGACGGAAGACCUGAGCUUCAAAAGAUGAAUAUACUCUUCAAACUCUGCACCUUGUAUAAUCUGGUUGAAGGACACCUACCUAGGAGAGUGCUGGUUGCAGGAACUGGACGAGGCUCUAUGUUCAAGUAUCCAAGUGAGACUGAGACCAACGGUUUCCAGUUGGGUGGCGCCAGGAGCAGUGGGGCGUCCAAUAUGGGUUACAGACAGCAGCUGAGGAGCUUGUAGGUGUGCUCUCGGUGGCAGAGGGGAAGCCCAGUACAGGGACUCAUCUGUGCUAUCUGUCCAUAGUGGUGUGAACCGGAGUUUAGAAGGCUCUUUGACACCCUGUAAUUUGUCAUGAAAAAGAUCAUAGUUGCCUAUGAAAGGUAGCCAGAUCCUUCCUGUCCUUGAUUUUAGGGUGAAGAGUUGGAUCUUGAUUUCUGUAAAUGACAUGUUUCUUGGGGGCUGGGAGGGGAUAGUUGGGAAAGAGCAUCUAUUAAGUUGAGGAAAAUGCAUGAUUCCCUUGGGUGGUUUGUCCAGUUGGCUGGUGGGAGUGUGUGUGUGUGUGUGUGGUGCAUACAGGUGAGUGAGUGUAUGUGAGAGUGAACAUGAAUGUGUAUAAAUGUGAGGGAGGUAUAGCAGGAGGUGGCCUGUAACACUUACACAGGAAGCUGACUGACCCACCCCAGGCAGUGCAUGCUGGGCUGGUCAGAAAGGCAAGAAGAUGUUCAGUUCUAUUAACCUGUUGUCUUUUACCCAUUUCUUUCCCUACCUCUCCAAAAUGGGUUGAGUUUGGCAGGUAGGACAAGCCUCAAUACAGGCAUACCCGACCUCAUACUGAAGGGUGACCAAUGACCUCUGCCAGAAGAAGGAUCCAGGGGUCAAAGCCUUCCAGGGACUAGAAUAGAGACACCAAGCCCUCACUCAAGCAUCAGCCUGGGCUGGAAUCUGGCCUUCCCAAGAUUCUGUGACGGUGGAAGAGAGCUCAGGGAAGUUGCCGGCUACUGUGGUUUAGUCCCACUGAUUCCAGAAAGGAUUGUUGAGACCUAGAAUGAAGAAGACUCUCUCCAGUCCAGGCAUGGUCUGAGUGACAACGCGCCGUGGCACAUGCCCAGAUUGGUGCAGCUAGAUGCAGCUGAUGGACUUGGCACCCGGCCUCCACUUGCCAUCAGGGCCUCCAAGAAGGAACUGCAAUAUCUCCAGCUAUUUUAGGAUCGAUACAGAAGAUGUUAUUUGUAUUGCCACAGCAUCUGAGGAACGGUACAUAAGGUACGUAAAGUGUCCUGGAGAUGGCCCAGAGCAAAUUCAUCAAACUGAAACUUGAUUUCUUCCAGGCUGAGGAUCUGUGUGUAAAGUCAUGGUGUGGCUUCUGCAAACCCCAGUGCAUCCAGCCAUACCAAUUCCAUAUUCACAGCACACUCUACUAGCCACUCCCAGGAUCAUGCAAAUAAAUUUCCAGUCAUUUGUGGAACCAGCCCAGGGAUAGGGACAGACUAUGCCAUAGACAAGUUUCAUAUGAAAAGAGAUAAAAAUUAUUUUCAAAAUAUAUAAAGUAUCAACACUGUAA